AUAAGCUUAGUGUAAGCAAGCAUAAAAAGUUUUCUUUUUUUUGGUAACCUGUAGUGGUUAGUUUAUU
rnacentral:tRNA from 1 species